GAUGAACGCUGGCGGCGUGCCUAAUACAUGCAAGUCGAGCGAACAGACGAGGAGCUUGCUCCUCUGACGUUAGCGGCGGACGGGUGAGUAACACGUGGAUAACCUACCUAUAAGACUGGGAUAACUUCGGGAAACCGGAGCUAAUACCGGAUAACAUGUUGAACCGCAUGGUUCAACAGUGAAAGACGGUCUUGCUGUCACUUAUAGAUGGAUCCGCGCCGCAUUAGCUAGUUGGUAAGGUAACGGCUUACCAAGGCAACGAUGCGUAGCCGACCUGAGAGGGGGACCGGCCACACGGGACCUGAGACACGGUCCAGACUCCUACGGGAGGCAGCAGUAGGGAAUCUUCCGCAAUGGGCGAAAGCCUGACGGAGCAACGCCGCGUGAGUGAAGAAGGUCUUCGGAUCGUAAAACUCUGUUAUUAGGGAAGAACAAAUGUGUAAGUAACUAUGCACGUCUUGACGGUACCUAAUCAGAAAGCCACGGCUAACUACGUG
rnacentral:rRNA from 1 species